AGCGGCGGACGGGUGAGUAAUGCCUAGGAAUCUGCCUGGUAGUGGGGGAUAACGUUCGGAAACGAACGCUAAUACCGCAUACGUCCUACGGGAGAAAGCAGGGGACCUUCGGGCCUUGCGCUAUCAGAUGAGCCUAGGUCGGAUUAGCUAGUUGGUGAGGUAAUGGCUCACCAAGGCGACGAUCCGUAACUGGUCUGAGAGGAUGAUCAGUCACACUGGAACUGAGACACGGUCCAGACUCCUACGGGAGGCAGCAGUGGGGAAUAUUGGACAAUGGGCGAAAGCCUGAUCCAGCCAUGCCGCGUGUGUGAAGAAGGUCUUCGGAUUGUAAAGCACUUUAAGUUGGGAGGAAGGGCAGUUACCUAAUACGUAAUUGUUUUGACGUUACCGACAGAAUAAGCACCGGCUAACUCUGUGCCAGCAGCCGCGGUAAUACAGAGGGUGCAAGCGUUAAUCGGAAUUACUGGGCGUAAAGCGCGCGUAGGUGGUUCGUUAAGUUGGAUGUGAAAUCCCCGGGCUCAACCUGGGAACUGCAUUCAAAACUGUCGA
rnacentral:rRNA from 1 species